GGAAAAUAAAAUGGGUUUGUCUCGUCCUCUGUCAAUCACGUGUAUGUCUACGAUUGCAUUUUGUUUGAUGCAAAUGGAGAGUUUCAGCCAUGCAAAGAUAGAACCCAAAACCAAUCCUAACUAAAAAACAAUAUAAAUAUACAUAAGCGCUUGUAAUAAUUUGUAAUAUUGGGACACACUCGUGUCUGUGUCUGUGUUGGUGUCUCUCAACAAUGGAGGGUGUACCAGAAGAUGGGUACACCAUUAACGUACCAUUGUUGGUUGACAACAAUGAUGAGAAUGAGGACAAGCUUUAUGAGAAUGAAGCUGAGGGGAACACCUCCUUUUUCAAGACCUGUUUCAAUGGGUUCAAUGCUUUGUCAGCUCUUCCUUAACCAUCGAAAGACUUCCGCUAAUUCUUCUUUCCCAGCAAAGACUUGAAGAGGCUGCUGGGCCUACCCAUUGACCUCUGCAAAGCGCCCUUGCUACUCAACUACAUCCCUAUAUACAAGUCAGCUCUGCCCGACGUUCCUAGGCGCAAGAAGACUUAUCCAUCUACUUCAACUCCUCUAAUAACUUUAUCUCCAAGGCCAGACCAGGCCUCCACCUCUGACCCAGUUGAUCAGCCAACCAUUUUUGCCCUUCAACUUAUUCCUCCAUCCCAAUUUUCGCUCUUGUCGGUAGAACUUGUAGCUGAAAAUGCCAAAACUCUGUGGCGUCGGCUUACGAUCCAACAAACCCACCUACUGCACUUUCAGCAAUCUGCUUCGGUACCAAAGUUACUAUUGCCACUACCACCGCAGAAAUGGGUAGUGCAAAAAUCAUCCCGAACGACCUUCUUGCCGACAUCCCAGGUGUGGCGUUAGUGCACUCUUCUAGUCCUUUCCAAUCUCAGCAAAAACCCGAGGCAAAAAGGGUUAAAAGGGCUAAGGCCAAACCCAGCGCCACUGAGGUGGAGUCAGAAGACACGGUGUCAAUUUCAAAAUUGGCUGAAGUAGAGAAGUCUGCCGAGAAGAGGCCUACACAGGCCGAGGCAUCUGAUCAACCGCAGUCAAAAAAGCCGAGGUCCGGCGGGUCUUCUGAGCCAUCUAGAUUUCGGGCCGACGCUUCCUAGACUCCAUCUGUCACGGUUGGAGACCGACCUCUUCUAACCGGGGACAGCGUGCUCAACAGUCUGCAAGUUGAUGCUGCCAUUUCCACUGCUGUUCUACACCCAGUCGACAUCAAUCGGAUCAAUCGGAUGGCUGAGCUUUCGGAGUAUGAAAAUUACGCGAUGAUGGUGCAGCAUUGUGUUUUGGCUAUCCAGUAGGGUCAUUCCCAUGCAUUCAAGACCGAUGAGUUCAAGAAAGAACUAACCCAAAAAAGUAAAGGAGGCAGCCAAACUCCUUUCCUCACUAAACAAAGCCGAGGCCCGUAUCCGAGGUCUUCUAGAUUAGGCCAAGUGAAGAACGCCGAAGACCGCGUCAAGGCUGUAGAAAACGUUGCCAAGGUUGCUCAAGCCAAGGCAAAAGAGGCCAAUGAUAAAGAAUCUCAAUCCCAGAUCGAGCUGCAAGUGGCCCUUGCUAUGAAGGCGGCCGAGGUAAAAAAGGCGGACGAGAAGGCCUAUGCCGAGGGAGUAGCCGGCGUUCAUGACGAAUACAAAAAGCAAGUCAAACAGGCAUGUAAUAGGGGUUACUCCCUUGGUUGGAUGUUUGCUUUGAAGGAGUUGGCUGUCCUCGACGACUUGUCCCUCUGGGACGAGAGCUAACUUGUCAUGCAUUUUUCUUCCCGCUCCAAGCCCAUUUGAGGAUGAGGCUGAGGAUGAGGAUGAUGAAGAAGUUGAGGCCGAUAAGGCUGGAAAAACUGAAGUUGCUGGGGCCAAGUCCCCAACUCUGAAUAAGCAAGCCAUGGACUUGUCUCAGGACGACGAGGACGAGGUCCCUAAGAACACACUUGAAGCCGAGGUUGAAAGUGCCAAGAAAAGCCUUGACAAGACUCUUCUAGAGAUCGAGGCCGAGAAGGUUGCCGAGAAGCUCUCCCAGCUGUCUACUGAGGCCGAAACAUAGCCAACCGCCGAUGCAGAACAGUCUAUUUAGAAUCUUUUCUUUGUUUGUACUUUUUCCUUUGUUUUGAAUAGUGUUUGUUUUGUCGGGCCGAUGUGCCAGCUUAUGUACUUGAACAAGUUGUCUUUUUUUAAUGCAAGUCUUAUAUUUUCUUCCAA